CCAUAAAUAAUGACUUCACUUUUUUCCGCAUCAGAUUGACAAUGCUGAUGUCUUUGAGUACUUGCCAGUUAAAAAAUUAUUUUAGG
ensembl:snoRNA